GCCCGUGUAGCCUAAUGGUUAAGGCGUUUGCCUUCUACCUCGUCGAGGCAGAGCAGAAGAUUGUGGGUUCGAGUCCCACCAUGGGCU